UACAGAGGUCCCAAGCGUUGUUCGGAUUCAUUGGGCGUAAAGAGCGUGUAGGCGGCCAGGCAGGUCCGCUGUGAAAACUCGAGGCUCAACCUCGAGAGGUCGGUGGAAACCGUCUGGCUAGAGUCCGGAAGAGGAGAGUGGAAUUCCCGGUGUAGCGGUGAAAUGCGCAGAUAUCGGGAAGAACACCCGUGGCGAAGGCGGCUCUCUGGGACGGUACUGACGCUGAGACGCGAAAGCGUGGGGAGCGAACAGG
rnacentral:rRNA from 1 species